GUCAGCUGGAGGUAACAUGUCUCCUUGCAGGGCAUCCCGGCGACUCUUUGGACCAGUUGAACCAAAGAGGAUAGAGGAUGAAGUCCAAAUUGGUAAUGGACUCCAGGAAUCUUUGUUAGCAGCUCUUGGAAGAAGAUGGGAGGCCAACCACACUUUUCUCCGCUUAUUGACGACACAGUUCAAAUCAUCAGGAAGAGACAUUAUGGGUCUACAGGUCUCCUGGGCUGUGAGCAGAGUCGCAGCUGGCAUCUGGGAGAAAAAAGAAAGAAGACCACAAUUUGGCCUUUAAGGAAAUAGACCUGGGAGGAGAUAAAAGGGAGUCAUCUCACUGUGUUGUCUGAUGGGCCAGAAACCCUCUUUCAGAAGAAAUUGGUUUCUGAAAGCUGAUGUGAAUUUCGUGUAGCGUUCAAUUGCUCUCUUUCUUUGUUUAGGCUUAGCUCACCAUUUUUGGAUUGAGGAGGCAAGACUUCGCGUCACUCCCCCGACCCAUCCUACCCCACAGCCCACACACUGACAUACACACAGACAUGCACACAGACACAUGUACACCCUUUAUCACUGGCAAGAGGGACCAGUUUUACAAUCCAAAAGCCUUAUCUGCUGCAGGGUCCACCAUCCUGACCCUAGCCCACCCAUGACUUCCCUCUUCCAGGCUCAGUUCUGAGCUCCAUCCCUGAUAUGGUUUGGCUGUGUCCCCAUUCAAAUCUCAACUUCAAUUGUAUCUCCCAGAAUUCCCACCUGUUGUGGAAGGGACCCAGGUGGAGGUAAUUGAAUCAUGGGGGCUGGUCUUUCCCAUGCUAUUCUCAUGAUAGUGAAUAAGUCUCAUGAGAUCUGGGUUUAUCAGGGCAUUCCACUCUUGCAUCCUCAUUCAUUUCUCUCUUGCUGCUGUCAUAUAAGAAGUGCCUUUCACCCUCCACCAUGAUUAUGAGACUGCCCCUACCGUGUGGAAGUCCAAUUAAACCUCCUUUUCUU
rnacentral:lncRNA from 10 species